rnacentral:rRNA from 1 species
UACGUAGGGUGCGAGCGUUUGUCCGGAAUUAUUGGGCGUAAAGGGCUCGUAGGCGGUUUGUCGCGUCGGGAGUGAAAUCCACUGGCUUAACUGGUGGCUUGCUUUCGAUACGGGCAGACUGGAGGUAUGCAGGGGAGAACGGAAUUCCUGGUGUAGCGGUGAAAUGCGCAGAUAUCAGGAGGAACACCGGUGGCGAAGGCGGCAUCCUGGACCAACACUGACGCUGAGUGAGCGAAAGCCAGGGGAGCAAACGGG